UGGGGAAUCUUGCGCAAUGGGCGAAAGCCUGACGCAGCCAUGCCGCGUGAAUGAUGAAGGUCUUAGGAUUGUAAAAUUCUUUCACCGGGGACGAUAAUGACGGUACCCGGAGAAGAAGCCCCGGCUAACUUCGUGCCAGCAGCCGCGGUAAUACGAAGGGGGCUAGCGUCGCUCGGAAUUACUGGGCGUAAAGGGAGCGUAGGCGGACAGCUAAGUCAGAGGUGAAAGCCCAGGGCUCAACCCUGGAAUUGCCUUUGAUACUGGCUGUCUUGAGUAUGGGAGAGGUGUGUGGAACUCCGAGUGUAGAGGUGAAAUUCGUAGAUAUUCGGAAGAACACCAGUGGCGAAGGCGACACACUGGCCCAUUACUGACGCUGAGGCCCGAAAGCGUGGGGAGCAAACAGGAUUAGAUACCCUGGUAGUCCACGCCGUAAACGAUGAGAGCUAGUUGUCGGCAUGCAUGCAUGUCGGUGACGCAGCUAACGCAUUAAGCUCUCCGCCUGGGGAGUACGGUCGCAAGAUUAA
rnacentral:rRNA from 1 species